rnacentral:sRNA from 1 species
UCCAAUGAUUUCUCGUCAAGGAUGACGUCGCUGAACUUCUGCCAUCUAUCAGUAACAAUUGCGUAUCUUCCAUCCUGCGCAACAAAAUAACCAUAUAAAUACCUCAAAUGCCGAUCUUCUUUUCAUGACCAAUAACAUUAAACUGAAGAUGAAACUAGUCAGAGAAUCACCUUCUUUCUGCAGCUAAGGUCCAAUAUCAGUCUUUGUUUCCCAACAAUGCUCACAAUAUCUUUGAGUCUUUCAAGAUCAAUCUUUCCAUUGUUAAAUACAUACUGAAAUACAAAACGAAAACAUAAUUAUCAUCAGCUAUACUUACUAUGAUAACAUAUUCAAUCAAGCUAGAUGACAGCUAUACCGAAGUGACAAUGACAUGGCUUGCUCCCUCCUCAAUAUAACUCAUGCAAUUCUCAGAAUUGAUUCCACCUCCAACUUGCAAA